rnacentral:rRNA from 1 species
GAUGAACGCUGGCGGCGUGCCUAAUACAUGCAAGUCGAGCGAACAGACGAGGAGCUUGCUCCUCUGACGUUAGCGGCGGACGGGUGAGUAACACGUGGAUAACCUACCUAUAAGACUGGGAUAACUUCGGGAAACCGGAGCUAAUACCGGAUAAUAUAUUGAACCGCAUGGUUCAAUAGUGAAAGACGGUUUUGCUGUCACUUAUAGAUGAAUCCGCGCCGCAUUAGCUAGUUGGUAAGGUAACGGCUUACCAAGGCGACGAUGCGUAGCCGACCUGAGAGGGUGAUCGGCCACACUGGAACUGAGACACGGUCAAGACUCCUACGGGAGGCAGCAGUAGGGAAUCUUCCGCAAUGGGCGAAAGCCUGACGGAGCAACGCCGCGUGAGUGAUGAAGGUCUUCGGAUCGUAAAACUCUGUUAUUAGGGAAGAACAAAUGUGUAAGUAACUAUGCACGUCUUGACGGUACCGAAUCAGAAAGCCACGGCUAACUACGUG